rnacentral:rRNA from 1 species
AUUGAACGCUGGCGGCAUGCCUUACACAUGCAAGUCGAACGGCAGCACGGGUGCUUGCACCUGGUGGCGAGUGGCGAACGGGUGAGUAAUAUAUCGGAACGUACCUUAUUGUGGGGGAUAACGCAGCGAAAGCUGUGCUAAUACCGCAUAAUCCCUAAGGGGGAAAGCGGGGGACCGUAAGGCCUCGCGCAAUUAGAGCGGCCGAUACCUGAUUAGCUAGUUGGUGAGGUAAAGGCUCACCAAGGCAACGAUCAGUAGCUGGUCUGAGAGGACGGUCAGCCAGACUGGGACUGAGACAAGGCCCAGACUCCGACGGGAGGCAGCAGUGGGGAAUUUUGGACAAUGGGGGCAACCCUGAUCCAGCAAUGCCGCGUGAGUGAAGAAGGCCUUCGGGUUGUAAAGCUCUUUUGUCAGGGAAGAAACAGCAGCUCUAACACAGUAUGCGAACGACGGUACCUGAAGAAUAAGCACCGGCUAACUACGUGCCAGCCGCCGCCGUAAAAC